AGGUUGUAGCUCAGUGGCAGAGCACUUGCCUAACACGUGUGAGGCACUGGGUUUGAUCCUCAGCACCACCUA
rnacentral:tRNA from 1 species